rnacentral:lncRNA from 1 species
AACGGCACUACCUAGUGGUAGGAACAAAGAGCAAAUAAAAGUCAUCUUGGUCACAGCGGAUAUGCUUCUUUACCACUGCGUUUCCCCUUUCACGAAAGAUAGAUCAAAAUCGACUAUCACUAAUACACAGAAUCGAAUCCAUAUGGUUUCUAUUCUGCAGACUAGAAAAGAAGGGUACUUGCUCGAGCCAAGCCAUAAGUAAGAGAUUAGAUUCAUUUAUGUAAGUGAUUUCGGGUCUAGGUUCGGUGAACCCAGCUUCCAUACAAUAGAGUCGAAGGACAGCUGUAUAGCUAAGGUCUAAGGGCAAAUGUGUGCUGCUCUUGCGGGUCCAACUCCUGUGUCCUGUCUGUCCUUCGUAGGCGGGCUGGCUAUUCCCGAUAUUUUCAGAGGUUUGGCAUCUACACAAGAAAAGGCUAUCACCCGUAGCACGUAAGGUGCUGAAAAUCAGACCCGUUAAUGCCUCCUAAGCAAGUACCCCUUCUUCCGAGAAGUUAUCGUGCAGAUGCGAAGACAAGCCGUAUGCCCCAAGAGGUCGAGGACUGGGGUCUCUAAUCCCAAACGCAUUCAAGAGAAGAUCCAAUCUAGAGGUACUACUCGAGAGCUGCUAUCCCGCCCAACUACAAUCUAUCCUCUACGUGCCCCCCACAAGCACACUACUACCAAGGGUUUAAUCCGGCCGCUCAUCCAAGUCUUGUCGCCAGCAAGCCUAGUCCCAUGUUGAAUUACUAAGGUUUAAGAAACUAAGUAAGAGACGCAGGCAUCAAGGUCUGAAGGGGUCUACCUUCGCCUUCUUCACUACCUCGCGUUCCUCUGCACUUAGUUGCUUGGGAAUACUUUAUACAUACAUUGGUUUGAAAAGAACACUACUACCGAGAAUCGCUCUCUCUUGGCCACUACAACUACUAAUACACUGCCCGCCUAACUGCCAAACGAGCUGGCUUAAUCGACUAAUGGAAUGGAAGCCGAGGACUUAAGUGCAGGUGUUUGGAAACAUCAUAUGGGCCAUCUCUCGUCACUCCACUUCCCCUUGCUCGGGACCUAAGAUGGGCUUAAUGAGAAAAAUCAUAUGUGGGAAGGUGGAUUCCACGGUGCUCUCUUGUGGGAAAACUUUACCUUCGAUACCAGCUAUCUCUCAGAAAUAGAACUAGGCUGUCAGUUGCUCUUCUAUACAGUCGAGUUAGAUGGCAUUACUUGUUUUGCCACAUUGCUCUUUCUUCCUUUGAUUGGCUGCACCUGAAGUCACUCAUUCCCAAUCGCAUUUCUGGUUAAGAGAAGUAGGUUCUUUGACUCUCUUCUUUUUUGAAUUUUUGAUUGGAUCAAAGAGGGGUAGCUACACCAUAGGAAUGAUUCAAAGGUAGGAAGAGUUUAGGCUGUUAGCGUGAUGAAGAGGAAUGCGGCUAAUCCCUCCACGGUACUCUGCUCUGCUGAACAUGGUAAAAAGGGCUUCAUUCAGCCAACGAGAGGUUUCGAAGUAACUCGACUGUAUGACCUUUCGGCCACGACCUAGAGGGGUGAAGAGGUGCUGUUGAGCCCGACCAUCCAUUACAUCAUAUACAAUAGAUCUUACUGCUUUAGCAGCUUUCUUUCUUGCAAUCGAGCAGCCUUUCUCACUUCCGGCACACUUGCUAUACUUCCAAAAGCGGGUCAUAAACGGGGGUUUUUUGCCUCAAGUCUCAGUCUUCUUCAAUGGCAGGAAUGGCUGGAUUGAAGAGCACACAGCUAGUCGACUGUAAGGAAUUGAGUGAGCCGAGCAUAGCGAGGAGGAGAUAGAUUGAAACAUUUUAAAAGUAGGGCUGGGUUAAGAACCAUCAAUUGCACUUGCUGCGAGUCAGCCCUAUUUGAUAAAAGGAAAGACUUACAAAAUCUCCAACGGCCACACUAGAUACUGGUUUUCAUAGACAGAGCUACUCCAAGCCCAAUACCANNN